rnacentral:rRNA from 1 species
AAUGAACGCUGGCGGCGUGCCUAACACAUGCAAGUCAAGCGGUGAAAGUCCUUCGGGGCGAGUAGCAGCGGCGGACGGGUGAGUAACACGUGAGUUACCUGCCCUUUAGUGAAGGAUACCUUUGGGAAACCAAGGUUAAUACUGCAUAUCUCCUACGGGAGAAAGACGGCUUUAUGCUGUCGCUAGAGGAUGGGCUUGCGGACUAUUAGCUUGUUGGUGAGGUAAAGGCUCACCAAGGCGAUGAUGGUUAACCGGCCUGAGAGGGUGUACGGUCACAUUGGAACUGAGAUACGGUCCAGACUCCUACGGGAGGCAGCAGUGGGGAAUAUUGCGCAAUGGGCGAAAGCCUGACGCAGCGACGCCGCGUGGAGGAUGAAGGCCUUCGGGUCGUAAACUUCUGUUAAGUGGGAAAAAAGACUCAUCAGUAAUAUGGGUGAGGGAUGAUAGUACCACUAGAGAAAGCACUGGCUAAUCUCGUGCCAGCAGCCGCGGUAAUACGAGAGGUGCAAGCGUUAUUCGGAAUCAUUGGGCGUAAAGGGUGCGUAGACGGUAUAGAAAGUCUGUUGUUAAAUAUUCUGGCUCAACCGGAAAAAUGCAACGGAUACUUCUAAACUAGAGGGUGAGAGAGAGAAGUGGAAUUCCCGGAGUAGCGGUCAAAUGCGUAGAUCUCGGGAGGAACACCGAUGGCGAAGGCAGCUUCUUGGCUCAUUCCUGACGUUGAUGCACGAAAGCGUGGGGAGCAAACAGGAUUAGAUACCCUGGUAGUCCACGCCGUAAACGAUAACCACUAGAUGUUGGUCUGGCUUGCUGGAUCAGUGUCGUAGCUAACGCGUUAAGUGGUUCGCCUGGGGAGUACGGUCGCAAGACUA